AACGAACGCUGGCGGCAUGCCUAACACAUGCCAGUCGAACGAGACCUUCGGGUCUAGUGGCGCACGGGUGCGUAACGCGUGGGAAUCUGCCCUUGGGUUCGGAAUAACAGUUGGAAACGACUGCUAAUACCGGAUGAUGACGUAAGUCCAAAGAUUUAUCGCCCAGGGAUGAGCCCGCGUAGGAUUAGCUAGUUGGUGGGGUAAAGGCCUACCAAGGCGACGAUCCUUAGCUGGUCUGAGAGGAUGAUCAGCCACACUGGGACUGAGACACGGCCCAGACUCCUACGGGAGGCAGCAGUGGGGAAUAUUGGACAAUGGGCGAAAGCCUGAUCCAGCAAUGCCGCGUGAGUGAUGAAGGCCUUAGGGUUGUAAAACUCUUUUACCCGGGAUGAUAAUGACAGUACCGGGAGAAUAAGCCCCGGCUAACUCCGUG
rnacentral:rRNA from 1 species